GAUUCUGGCUCAGGACGAACGCUGGCGGCGUGCUUAACACAUGCAAGUCGAACGAGGAUAUAUGAGUAGAGAGCUUCGGCAGGAAAUGAAUAUAUUCGAGUGGCGGACGGGUGAGUAACGCGUGAGCAAUCUGUCCCAGACAGGGGGAUAACACUUGGAAACAGGUGCUAAUACCGCAUAAGACCACAGUAUCGCAUGGUACAGGGGUAAAAGGAGCAAUCCGGUUUGGGGUGAGUUCGCGUCCGAUUAGAUAGUUGGUGAGGUAACGGCCCACCAAGUCGACGAUCGGUAGCCGACCUGAGAGGGUGAUCGGCCACAUUGGAACUGAGAGACGGUCCAAACUCCUACGGGAGGCAGCAGUGGGGAAUAUUGGGCAAUGGGCGAAAGCCCUGACCCAGCAACGCCGCGUGAGUGAUGAAGGCCUUCGGGUUGUAAAGCUCUGUUAUAGGGGACGAAGGAAGUGACGGUACCCUAUAAGGAAGCCCCGGCUAACUACGUGCCAGCAGCCGC
rnacentral:rRNA from 1 species